GACGAACGCUGGCGGCGUGCUUAACAUAUGCAAGUCGAACGGAAAGGCCCUGCUUUUGUGGGGUGCUCGAGUGGCGAACGGGUGAGUAACACGUGAGUAACCUGCCCUUGACUUUGGGAUAACUUCAGGAAACUGGGGCUAAUACCGGAUAGGAGCUCCUGCUGCAUGGUGGGGGUUGGAAAGUUUCGGCGGUUGGGGAUGGACUCGCGGCUUAUCAGCUUGUUGGUGGGGUAGUGGCUUACCAAGGCUUUGACGGGUAGCCGGCCUGAGAGGGUGACCGGCCACAUUGGGACUGAGAUACGGCCCAGACUCCUACGGGAGGCAGCAGUGGGGAAUAUUGCACAAUGGGCGGAAGCCUGAUGCAGCAACGCCGCGUGCGGGAUGACGGCCUUCGGGUUGUAAACCGCUUUCGCCUGUGACGAAGCGUGAGUGACGGUAAUGGGUAAAGAAGCACCGGCAAACUACGUG
rnacentral:rRNA from 1 species